rnacentral:tRNA from 1 species
GCCUGGGUGGCUCAGUCGGUUGAGCAUCUGACUUCAGCUCAGGUCAUGAUCUCACGAUUCGUGGGUUUGAGCCCCGCGUUGGGCU